rnacentral:rRNA from 1 species
ACGAAUGCUGGCGGCGUGCUUAACACAUGCAAGUCAAACGGGUUUUAGCAGAAUACCGCUAGAAUCAGGGCAGUUUGAGCAAUGCGUGAAAGUACACGAGCGGCGGACGGGUGAGUAACGCGUAAGAAUGUACCCCAAAGUGAGGGAUAAGCACCAGAAAUGGUGUCUAAUACCGCAUGUGCUCUUCGGAGUAAAGCUUUAUGCGCUUUGGGAACAGCUUGCGUCUGAUUAGCUAGUUGGUAAGGUAACGGCUUACCAAGGCGACGAUCAGUAGCUGGUCUGAGAGGAUGACCAGCCACACUGGGACUGAGACACGGCCCAGACUCCUACGGGAGGCAGCAGUAGGGAAUUUUCCACAAUGGGCGAGAGCCUGAUGGAGCAACGCCGCGUGCUAGAUGAAGGCCUUCGGGUCGUAAAUAGCUUUUGUCUGUGACGAAUAUGACGGUAGCAGACGAAUAAGGAUCGGCUAACUACAU